rnacentral:lncRNA from 1 species
UUGUGCACAUGUGGACUGAUGCCAAUGGAACCAAUGGAAUGUCUCUGGGUACACAUUCACUGGGACUGAGGUGAAACAGAGAGAUCUGGCUGGCUCUGUAUGGCUCAACAAACUCAAUCCUGGAGAGUAAGCUGACAUCAAACGCUGCCGAUGUUUGCCCAGGAGGGAACGUUGGUUGCAGCAGGAGGAUCAGAAACAGCUCUAAGUAGCUCUGGAUGCCACUGUCUUUCUGUCAUUGAUCUGUUUCUAGCACUGGGAAAAGAUGCAGGUAGAGUCAUCUCAAAGCUCUGCUGUCUCAGCAUCGGCAGUAUUAAUAAUUUAAAAAUGUUGUGCAUUUUUUUUCCUCCCUGGGUACCACAAUGAUUGAUUUGGAUAUCUAAAAAUAUCUGUAUGAAGCUGAACCAGCGGCAAAUAGCAACUCCAUGGCAAGGCAGAAAACAAGGUCCCUAAAAAUCCAGAUAGCAUGUCACCCACUAUGCAGUUAUUUCUCACUGAGCUAUUCCUGUAUCCCUGAUCAUCUUAGAAAAGUUGAUCUACCAGUAAUAGGUGUAUUUUUUUGUUUGUUUGCUUUCAAUGUAGGCUUUGCUCUCAGCCAUGUUUUAAGACUUCAUUUUAGUUCAUGACUUAUUCAGACUUUAACUAUUCUAACAACAACAAUGCAAAAAGUUUUCUUUCUACAUACAGAUUACAUUGAUUUUUGUUAAAAAGUGUAAAUAAAACUGCAUUAAGAGGGUGAGAUCAAGGCAAAAGAUUUACUCUGCUAUGUAAAACCUCCUUAUACUAUACUAUCAUGGAAGAUUUCUCACUGUGAGUGAGAACUUUCUUAUGCCAAAAGUGCUAUGUGAUUUAUACUUAAAAACUAGCAUGUGUCCUUCACAGGUACAGGGAAACAACACUCAAAACUCUGACACUGUGCAGAUCCCACUCCAUUAAAUUUCUUUUUUUUUUUUUUUUUGAUGUUGUUGGGUUGUUUUUUUUUGGAUACACAUGCAUGAGCAUGUCUGUGUAUAUAUAAUAACUAGGAAUAUGUCAUGGUAGUUGCUAGAGAUUCUUGUAAGCAAGACAUGUAUAUAAAAUACAACUAAUUAAACAUUCAGAGAAAAUCCUCCAGUUCAUACCUAUUUAUUCACUUCUGUUCUAUAAAUCAACUUCUAAACUCUGUUUAUGAAAGGAAAUACCUCAAAUACCUACACAAUCUAAGCUAAAAUAUUGCUUGUACUUUAGCUAGAGUGCUUGCUUAGGAAUGGUGAUGGAAGAAGUACUGAUCCUAGAACUGGCUCUGAAAAUUAACUUACUGAAACAAAUGGGCUUGUUGAACAAGGAGGGAAUACCAAAACUUGCCCCUGUAAGAUACCUCAACAAGGUUAGUUCUAAUUUAUUAGUGUAACAAUCUUGCUUGGAUUAUUUCUUUUUGAAGUCUGAAUCUUUUGAGAAAAUCCUGUUGAUAAUACAAAGUAAAGAUCAUUGUGGUGAAGGUGUUAUAUUGGUAGAACUGCAAAGUUCUUUGUAUUUUGUGACUGGAAUACUAUAUAUUUUUAUGAAUGGUUUUCUAUUACAAGGUGAUACUGUGCAGCAUUUAUUUGGAACAUUACGGGUGGCCAAUUCUUCUGCAUCAAUGUUUUUGAUGGAGAUUCUUUAGCAUAUUCAUUUUGUCUGAGAUCAGGGACUAUAUUAGAACAUAAAAAUCUUUGUGCUGUAUUUGUAGACAAGUUUCUCUUUGUGUGUUUUUUUUUUUUCUGUUGCAUUUUUUAUGUGUGUGUGUGACUAAACAUCAAGUAACAAAGAAUUUGAAAGCCGAUGUUCUAU